rnacentral:lncRNA from 1 species
UUCCGACCUAAUUAAGCUUAGAUUCUUUCGAGAGAUCUUUUUUGUACUCCGCCUUUUCGACAUUAAGAAAUUAUUUGUUCCGUCUUCGUCUAUGGACGUAGGUCGUUGGCCGAACUACGUAAUCAUCGGUGUGCUUUUUCUUUUUCUUUUCGUUUCCUGCAUUAAAUUAUUUUCUGGAUCUAUUUUUCGCUGUUCCGAUUUUAACAUAUAUCUUUUGAAAAGUCUUCAAUCUGCUGCGUAUUAGUUUUAAUUUAUUUAGAAAAAUUUUGCAUAUUUUGUAAUACUAAAUUUUUAAAAAAAAUUAAAUUUAUAGGAAGAAUAAUUAUAAUCUUUAGAUAAAAACAAAACUAACACAUGGCUACGAGUCCCUAAUCUGCUGCUAUGUGUUAGUUUUACUUAUAUCUAAAAAAUAAUUGGGUAUGUUUUAAUAUUCAAGGGGCAAUUGCUUAUAUACUCCUGAAAAGUUUUCAACUUUCCGAUUUAUCCCUCUUAGAAGGCUAAUAUUGAAAAUACCAUUUCCAUGUUCCAACCUAUUUUUAAUUGACAAUAUGUUUAAUUAAUUGAGAUAAACAUUUUUUCAUCGACAUUUUUUUUUUUUCUUAAUUAACCACGAUGGCCCGGCCCUCAGGUUCCAUCUACAAUUUAUGGUGGAUAUUGGCAUGGACUACCUUUAUUAAGGGACUAAAUCUGCUUUAAUUUAUGGGCAGCAUUUAACCUCAAGUUUAAUAUAGAAUAUUUUUUAAUGUAUAUAUACACAUACUUAUGUGGUAAUUAAGACGCUAAAGAGUGCAUCCGUUUAUGAAAUAAUAUUUUAAGGCAUAAAUAUUUUUAUUCUUGAAAUGAUUAAAUAGUUUAUGAUAGAGAGGAGUUAAAACAAAUUUUGUAUUUGAUAUGACCUCUACUUAUUCUCUAGAAUAACUUAAAAUAUAUUUGAUUAUUUUCUUAGUAAUAAUAGAAAAUAAUAAAAUAUAUAUAUAUAUAUAUAUAUAUAUAUAUAGAUUAUAUUAUACUUAUGUACUUAUAUAUAUACUAUAUAUAAAACAUUUAAUUUAUAUAAUAUAUAAAUACAAUACUAUACAUACAUUUUUACGAUAGAUAUAUGUAGUAUUAUAUGUAAUGUGAUAUAUAUAUGUAUGUAUUAUAUGUAUUGUAAUAUAUAGUACUAUAUAUAUAUUAAUAAUAUAUAAUUGAGCUCUAUAUUUUAAAAGUAUUAAUAAUUGGGAUGUUUAUAAGUUUCAGACCUUGGAUUAGCAUUAGUUACGGCUAUUAGGAGUAUAGUGAGUUCCUAGGAGUUGAAUUGAUUGGUUGGGCUGCAUAAGUAGAUCUUAGGAAUAAAAUUAAUAACACAUGUACGAUCUAACUGCGAAACAGUUUACAGCAUCAAGUGCUUGAUGCUUUUUCAGCUCAGUAGCUGGAAUCAGUAUAUAAAAUUGUAUCAUCAUUUUUUGAGGAUAUUUAUUUCAACAUUCAUUUUUUUGUUACUUGGAUGGACAGAGAAACAAUAUCGGAAAAUAUGUGAAAUUUGCAUUUCCAGAUAGUUUUAAUAGUUUAGAUCUGUUUACGGAGCAAUCCUCAUUUGGAAUUAUCAUCGAAAACAAAUCGCCGUAGUAAACAGAACGUUUACUAGCGAUAGUUUUUCUAGGCACGUUAUAUAUAUAUAGAGUCCGGUAUGCUAUCAUACCAUCAAGCACUUGGUUGCUAUUAGUUGUUCUGCCGUUAGAUGUAACCCUGAUUAUUUUUAACCAGUUAGAUUACAUUCAAACCAAUCACCAACUAUGUAUUUAUUAUUAACUAGGGGCCACAUAAGCCUAACGUACAUUUAUCAAUAUCAAGGGUAAAAACUUAAUAGACAACAACUUGGAUGACUAUUGAUUAGUAUCAGCUAGAUUGAUAUAUAUUCUUUAUAAUAUAUGUAAUAUAUAUAUAUAUAUAUAUUAUAUAUAUAUUAUAUAUAUAUAGAUAAUAGUAGGCAACUGUGCGGUGAGUAUUAGGAAGUACGCAGCCUUGUGGCUACCUAAUUUUCUAACACCCAUCAAGUUUAAUGGGUGGUUGAAUGAGAGAUGGGAAUGAAGAUAUUGAGGAGAAAUAAGAAGAAAUUUAAGGAGAAGAGAAAUAUGAGACACUCAAUUUUCCUGAAUUAUCUCAUCCUCUCUCUCAUUCUAACCACUCAUUCAAACUUGAUGGGUGUAGUAGAAUUAGGAACACAAAACUGCUGUGCUCCCUAAUAGUACAAGUUUUUUGACCGUGUAGAACUCUACUCUUCGGAUCAUUUCAACCACUAAUAGAUUAUACUAUUACAUCAACCACCCACUUCAACCCUAAGGGGCCCACAUCAUCUUACCGCAUAUCUCUUUAAUCUAAUAGCUAAAUAAAUCUACAAGCACAAUAACUUAGACAUUUUUAAAAGAGUAGAAAUCAAUAUAAUAUAUAUAAUCUAUAUAUAUAUAGUAUAUAUAUAUAUAUUAUCUAUACUAUAUAUAUUAUAAAAUUAGGCUACUAUACUAUAUAAUAACAUCAAGUGCAUGUGGUUACCAAUUUUUGGCAUUGGAUAGAGAUAUGCGUAGGAAAUGAUAUGGGGCCUAGGUUAAGUGGAUAGUAUAGUGUGGUUGAAUAGUAUGAUCUAACGGUGUGAAAAAUUAUCAAAAUGGUUAGAUUGAACGGCGAAGAAAAUUUGGUAGCACCAAAUGUUAGUGUAGUUAAAUAGCAUAGUAUGCCGGGACCUAUUUAUAGUAUAUAUCUAUAUAUAUAUAUAUAUAUAGAAUUAAGCUGGAAUACUAUUAAUAGUAAAACACUCUUUUUGCUAUCAAGUUUUUAAUCCUUGGAUGAAAAAUUGUAGGGUAAGGAUGAUAUUAGUCGGUUAGAGUUGAGUGGUCCCCCAAGGGUUGAGUGGUCCCCACUGGGUUAUAGUAUUUAAUCCAAUGGUUAGAAAUAAUGAAAAGAGUUGAUCUAAAGGCUAAAAAACUGGUAGCAAUAAUGAAACUUUGCUACUAAUAGUAGCCCAGUCCAACUCUAUAUAUAUAUAUUAUCAUCAUGAGAACACCACAAUGGGAAAAGCCUUUUGUGGAACAAGUAUCUACAUCAGAUUUUCUUUUUCAUUAUUGUCGGAUUUUAGUAAUGUAAAAUAAUACAAAUCUAUUUAAAAAAUAAUUUAAAAUUAAAAUAAGUAUUAAGAAAUUUUUUUUUUACUAUAAUACUUGAUCGUUUGUUAUUAUUUUUAUUUGACAUAUUUGUAAAUUAUUGGAUGAUUCCUGCGGACAUUCAAACACCAAUUUUCAAUCGGAUCUGUGUUAUUGCAAUUUAUUGUCAACUUUCUAAAUGAUUUCUUGGAACAUUCAAGUAUCCGUAACUAAUCUAAAUAGCAUGGUGCUAAGUUUAUAGGGUGCUUCCUUGCAAUGCCCAAUUAUCAAAUUAUCAGGUGCUUUGUCGGAUGCCCAGUUAUCAAAUUAUAGAAAAGGACUUCCAGUAGUCAAAUUUUGAUUGAUGGGCUAUAAUUUAUCAAUAAGUCUCGGAAUGACUAAUUGGUCGAACAAACAUGUUUUGAGAAGAGGGGAGCAGAGGAGAACCGGCCGUCCCUAGAGUAAAUAGUAAAAGGCUUGAUGGUUCAUAUCCGAGACUCAAGUUCGAAUUCUAGUUGAUUCACAUUUUCAGCUAAGUUUAUUUCUAAAUGAAAUAACGAAGCGGAUAGCGUACUAUCUAUCUAAAAAACGAAGGAGAGGAGAGAAGAGAAAAGAAGAGACGGAAUUGAUGCAAUUUUUUUUUUUUUUGUUUUCUCCCUCUGUUUUUAUUUCUUAUACAUGUAUAUGUAUAAGAACAUUAAAGCUUAAUGGAAUAAAAAAAAAUUUUAGGAAAAAUUUCAAAUACCACCGUUAUAGUUUCACAUUUUUUCACUUUAAUAGCAUAUGGUUUAAAGUGCAUCAAUUUAGUGUCCUAUGGUUUCGCAUUUUCUCACUUUAAUAUCCUAUGGUUUAAAGUGCAUCAAUUUAGCAUCCUGUAGUUUUAUUUUUUUCUUUUCGUCGGCUCCUUUGUUAAUAUUUCAUUAAAUUAUAUACAAAAAACUUCAGAUACCCUAUCUAAAUUUAUCAAAUAUUUACUUAGUACCAUUUAGUUUUAACUUUGUCAUUGAUUUUUUUUUCCUCCGUUAACAUUUCGUUAAAUUAUAUACAAAAAACUUCAAAUACCCUACCUAAGUUUAUCGAAUAUUCACUUUAGUACCCAUUAAUUUUAACUUUAUCACUGAUUUAGCGAAAAAAAUUAGUGAAAUAGAUAAUAAAAAAAAAAAAGAAAUUAAACCACAGGGUACUAACUUGAUACACUUUAAACCACAGGGUACUAAAGUGAAAAAGUGCGAAACCACAGGGACUAAUUUGAUACACUUUAAACCACAAGGUAUUAAAGUGAGAAAAUAUGAAACCACAUGGGGUAUUUGAUGUCUACCCUUUUUUUUGUGAGGGUAAUUAUUUUCUUUUGACCAGUUUAAUUGGAGUAAUCUGCAUAUUUAAGGGCGUAAUUAACCAAAGACCUUUACAUCUUUAAGGAGCGUGAUCCCUUUAUUUCUGUUUAUGCAUUUAUUAAUUUGUAAAAUUUUAAGUUUUCUUCAUAACACUUGGAUACCAACUUCAAGUCAUUUGUCACUUAUGUACACUAGAUAAAUAACACUAAGACUAAUUAAUACUAAUAAACUACUAAAGUCAUAAUUUUUUUUUUUUUUUUUGCUGUUCGCAGCUUUGCACACACAAAAGCUCAAAUUAAAACCAACAACAACAACAACAACAACAACAACAACAACAAAAAAGGACCACGAGAAGUGGGAGGUGAAAAUGAAAUAUUUUAUUCGUCUGUUUCGCGACAGGUUUAACAAGUAGCAAUUAAAAAGAAAGAGGAAGGAAGAGGAGAAAAUUACAGAAAAAAAAGUUUUUAUUCGAUUAUCCAUGAUUGAGAAAGGGUGGUACGUAAAGCAAGAAGUGGCCGGAAGAAGCCAAUUACGGCGGCGGUCGCGGGCGGCGGACAUCAUAUAUAUAUGCAUGGUAGAUAUAUAGAUCAGCUGGCUCAGGCAAGCGUAUAUAUCGAUCGAUCGUGCUCCGGUUCACGGCUUCUGCAGUCGAGGAUCAGGAUGGUUUCCGAUACGAGGGGGCUGAAAUGGCGUUUUGGAUGGCGGCUUUGGAGGAUCGGGCCCUUUCACGGGAGACGGGCAUUUUAUUUCUCGUUCCCGAACGUUGCAGUUGUUGGAAUGUGGGGGCCGAGCAACUAGGGAGCGAGAAAAGACGGGAAGCAGAUGAAGCAAAUUCAAAUGAAU